ACACGCGCGUGAUUAACAGGUGAUACACGGCGCGAAAACCGCACCUGAAACCACCAUAUUGACAACAGGAUAUAUUUGCGAUACACGGUGGAAAACGCCGAGAUAAUCUCCACCAGCAGUUUUAAAGAAACGUCUACAGAAGGCAAUAAAAACCACAUCAAGAUGGGCGCUAUCGAAUAGAUGGUUAUGAUGUCCAAACCUGCAGCAGGUUUCCUGUGGUGUCAGGUUCUGUGCUAACAGACUUACGUUAUCAGACAGAAGGUGUGAAGGGGAGCGCCUCCUCUACCCAGCACUGCCUCCUCACAGGAGUGGAAAGCAAUGAUGUAAUGUGCCUGGCUGCCUCAGAAUCAGCAGCCCCCCUCUGCUGCUUUU